GUAACCUGGCACAGCAUUGAAGCCACAACCGCUACACGACAUGUGUUCAACCGGCAUCUGCACUUGUGAUCCGAACAUCCUGUUAGAGAACGAACUGCUAUUAUGUACUUUACUACGAACUGGUGUUUUAUGGAAACAUUU